AAUUGUGCUCAGCCAAUCUAUCAAGCAGAAGUUAAAAAUCUGUUUUGGCCCAACCAGCCUUGCAGCAAAAACCGCGUGUUCGCAUGCGCCUGAGAGAAACCGUUGGCGGAUUCAAAUGUCUGCGCGAGAGAGCGGAGCCGAUGCUGAGGAGCGACAAACAUCAUUUCCAGACGGAUUUUCCGUCAUUAAAGUUAUGUGUAACCCACCAUUUAGUCCGAAGUGUAAAAAGGGAACAACUAUGAAUUUCACAAGCCAUUGGAGAACCAUACAACUGCAAUGAAAAUUGGAAAAGUAAGCAUCAGCAGUUGCACUUCAAGAGCCCUGUCAAGUGUGCUAAAUGUCUCCGUUGUCCUGGAAGAGGAGGUGAUGCUUGACAACUUAGGAGACUUUGUAAAUGUAUUUAUUGUACUCUUUGGAUUAUUGUAUGCACUCAACAUGGAGUACAACAAGGAUUUAAAAGGUUAGUUCACCCAAAAAUGAAAAUUGUCAUUAAUUAUUCACCCUCAUGUCGUACCCAAAAAUAAUAAUAAUAAACAAUUUACUACUUUAUUUACAAAAUAAUAUCCAAAGUGUGGUGGUGCUUCCCCUAUUGGGUUGCAGAUCAAUGGUUUAGUAAAUAUUUAUUUAUUUUUGCUCAAACAAAGCACUUGCGUUGCUUCCUAAAAUUGAGGUUUAAACCACUGGAGUCACAUUGAUUACUCUAAUGAUGUCUUUCCUACUGUUCUGGGCCUUGAAUGUGUAAGCUGCAUAGCCUGACAGAAAGCUCUCAGAUCUCAUCAAAAAUAUCUUAAUUUGUGUUCUGAAGAUGAACAAAGGUCUUACAGAUGUGGAAUGACAUGAGGGUAAUGACAGAAUUUAAAUUUUUAGGUGAACUGACCCUUUAAGUUCAAAGUACCUCUUAUGAGAUUUUGUUAUUUAUUUAUUUUUUGGCAAACAUUUGAAGUGUAAGAUGCCAUACCUCUUGUGAGAAUGGUAGAAUUCAUGUAAAAUUACUCUAAACACUGGGUGAAGUAACCUUCCCAUUACUUAAAAUCGUUUAUACUGUUUGUUUUUUGGGGUUUGUUUUGGCAGACAUUUGAAGUGUAAAAUGCAGUUUCAUGAACUCAGUGUACCUUUUGUGAGAAUGGUAAUAUUCAGGGGACAUUACACUAAACACUGUUUGAAGUAACCUCAGAUAAAUUAUUACAUUUUAUGGUGUUUUUGAUAUUUUUGCAUGUUUGUGAAUGUAUUAAUGUUUGCAAUUCAUCAGCUUUGUGUAUCUUAUGAGAAUUCAAAUGCAUGAUUUUGUAAGGUUUACUGUGUAGAAAAUUUCAAUGUAUUUAUCAUUGUAAGGUAUUUUUACAAUAUUGUUGUAGAUUUUAUUAAAUUUUUUGAUUUUAUCAUUUUCUUUUGGGACAACGGGGAAUAAACAAUUCAGUAAGGUUGCUUUAGCAAUAUAAAUUUGCCAGUAUACAUUUUUAGAUCGGGUAAAAAAAAAAGUAUGCUACUGCUAUUUAAAAUAUUUAAUUGGGCCAGCCAAUAACAUGGUUUGGUAGAUUUAAUGUUUUUCUAAUUGGCUCAACAUAUUAUUUCUCAUUGAGCCAAUAUUAACAGACUGUUGCCACAAUUGAAAUAAUUCAAUUAGCAGAAAUUCAAUUGGGCCAAUGGAAAAAUUUAGAUGUAAUCAGUCACUAGAAAAUUUUGAGUUGGGGAGGUCUGAAAUUUUUUACAGUGUAUAGAAAGUUUUCUUUGAAAAGAUAUUUCAUCAGCUGAACAAUCAGUAUGUUAUUAAACAAUGAUACAAUCCACUAAACACAUUGUAUUUCUA